rnacentral:rRNA from 1 species
UACGAAGGGGGCAAGCGUUGUUCGGAAUUACUGGGCGUAAAGGGCGCGUAGGCGGCUUAACAAGUUGGGUGUGAAAGCCCAGGGCUCAACCCUGGAAUAGCACUCAAGACUGUUUUGCUUGAAUUCGGUAGAGGUUGGUAGAAUUCCCAGUGUAGAGGUGAAAGUCGUAGAUAUUGGGAAGAAUACCCGUGGCGAAGGCGGCCAACUGGACCGACAUUGACGCUGAGGCGCGAAAGCGUGGGGAGCAAACAGG